CGCAGCCGCGGUAAUUCCAGCUCCAAUAGCGUAUAUUAAAGUUGUUGCAGUUAAAAAGCUCGUAGUUGAACUUCAGGCCUGGCUGGGCGGUCCGCCUUCCGGGUGAGUACUGCCUGUGGUCGGGUCCUACCUUCUGGCGAAGCGUCAUGGCCUUAACCGGCCGUGGCGGGGAACCAGGACUUUUACUGUGAAAAAAUUAGAGUGUUCAAAGCAGGCACGCGCUUGAAUACAUUAGCAUGGAAUAAUGGAAUAGGACAGUGGUUCUAUUUGUUGGUUUCUAGGACCGUUGUAAUGAUUAAUAGGGAUAGUUGGGGGCAUUAGUAUUCAAUUGUCAGAGGUGAAAUUCUUGGAUUUAUUGAAGACUAACUACUGCGAAAGCAUUUGCCAAGGAUGUUUUCAUUAAUCAAGAACGAAAGUUAGGGGAUCGAAGACGAUCAGAUACCGUCGUAG
rnacentral:rRNA from 1 species